rnacentral:rRNA from 1 species
UACAUGGGGUGCAAACGUUGCUCGGAAUUAUUGGGCGUAAAGCGCACGUAGGUGGUCUGUUAUGUCAGAUGUGAAAGCCCUCGGCUUAACUGAGGAAGUGCACCUGAAACUGGCAGGCUUGAGUACGAAAGAGGGUCGCGGAAUUCCCGGUGUAGAGGUGAAAUUCGUAGAUAUCGGGAGGAACACCGGUGGCGAAGGCGGCGACCUGGUUCGAUACUGACACUGAGGUGCGAAAGCGUGGGAGCGGAACAGGAUUAGGAUACCCCA